UCGGGGGAUGCCUGGACCGGGUGGGAGCGUGCGCCGUGUGCGUCAUCGAUCCGCCUGCUGGUAGCAGGGUGCAAACCAGUGCACACCGUCCGAUCUAGACAAGUACUCGUUGUUCCAUCUAAAAUUGCUCUCGGAGUCUCCCAGAGUCGCCGAGUACGAUGCUCGAGUUAAACGCGCCCGUUGCGUACGUUCUCUUCGUUCUUCUUGGCGUAAACUGCGUUUCAGGAACUGCGGUCAUGAAAAAUUACGAGGCAAAUCCUGACUCGAAAAGAUUGUACGACGAUUUGUUAUCAAAUUACAAUCGACUGAUCCGGCCAGUCAUUAACAACACCGAAACGCUCACGGUCCGGUUAGGGCUAAAAUUAUCACAGUUAAUCGAGAUGAACUUGAAGAAUCAAGUGAUGACGACCAAUGUUUGGGUGGAGCAGAAAUGGUUCGAUUACAAAUUAAGAUGGGAUCCCGAAGAAUACGGUGGAAUUGAAAUGCUCUACGUACCAUCCGAAAACCUGUGGUUACCGGAUAUCGUGCUGUACAACAAUGCCGAUGGUAAUUACGAGGUAACCCUGAUGACAAAAGCCACGCUUAAAUACACGGGAGAAGUUUCUUGGAAACCUCCAGCUAUUUACAAAUCUUCCUGUGAAAUUAAUGUCGAGUAUUUUCCUUUCGAUGAACAAUCGUGCAUCAUGAAAUUCGGCUCGUGGACGUAUAACGGUGCCCAGGUGGACUUGAAGCAUAUGGACCAAGUGUCUGGGAGCAAUUUAGUGCCGAUUGGAAUCGAUUUAAGCGAAUUCUAUCUCUCGGUAGAAUGGGACAUUCUUGAGGUCCCUGCAGCGAGGAACGAGGAAUAUUAUCCAGGGUGUGACGAACCAUAUUCGGACAUCACUUUCAACAUAACAAUGAGAAGGAAGACAUUGUUCUAUACCAUCAAUUUGAUAAUUCCGUGUGUUGGCAUAACUUUCCUGACAGUUCUGGUAUUUUACUUGCCCAGCGAUUCGGGUGAAAAAGUUUCACUGUGCUCGUCGAUUCUACUGUCUUUGACCGUGUUCUUCUUGCUCUUGGCGGAAAUCAUCCCUCCGACUUCUUUGGCUAUACCACUGCUUGGAAAGUACCUGUUGUUCACAAUGAUUUUGGUGACCUUGUCGAUAUGGAUUACCGUUGUGGUUCUUAACUUCCAUUUUCGCUCUCCGUCGACCCAUAACAUGCCUGGAUGGGUUCGACAAGUGUUUCUCAACUGGAUGCCACGAGUUCUCAUGAUGCGACGUACCGCUUAUGCCGCUCCGGAGAAUGAAACUACCUAUCCAGACAGCGGAUACAGCAAUGAAGUCGAGUUGAGCCUUCCAGGAAGUGUAAGCGAUUACCCAAUUGAAUUGAAGGGAAGCCCAGAUGGUUUCGAAAGUAUUACAGCGGCGUACAAAAGCAUUCGGGAGGAUGAAAAUCAGCAUAUACGACACGUCUCAGUUUAAAAAGUACCCAGCCAGUUAAUAUUGCAGUUACAGACAGCGAAAAUACGAUACCUAGACAUUUGCCACCCGAUGUCUUGUCUGCACUCAAGGGAGUGCGUUUUAUUGCUCAGCACAUAAAGGAUGCCGAUAAGGACAACGAGGUUAUAGAAGACUGGAAGUUUGUG
rnacentral:misc_RNA from 1 species